AUUGAACGCUGGCGGCAGGCUUAACACAUGCAAGUCGAGCGGAGAUGAGGUGCUUGCUACUUAACCUAGCGGCGGACGGGUGAGUAAUGCUUAGGAAUCUGCCUAUUAGUGGGGGACAACAUCUCGAAAGGGAUGCUAAUACCGCAUACGUCCUACGGGAGAAAGCAGGGGACCUUCGGGCCUUGCGCUAAUAGAUGAGCCUAAGUCGGGUUAGCUAGUUGGUGGGGUAAAGGCCUACCAAGGCGACGAUCUGUAGCGGGUCUGAGAGGAUGAUCCGCCACACUGGGACUGAGACACGGCCCAGACUCCUACGGGAGGCAGCAGUGGGGAAUAUUGGACAAUGGGGGGAACCCUGAUCCAGCCAUGCCGCGUGUGUGAAGAAGGCCUUUUGGUUGUAAAGCACUUUAAGCGAGGAGGAGGCUACCGAGAUUAAUACUCUUGGAUAGUGGACGUUACUCGCAGAAUAAGCACCGGCUAACUCUGUGCCAGCAGCCGCCGUAAAAC
rnacentral:rRNA from 1 species